CUCUUUUUCAAAGCAGUUAUCCUGACAUUAUGCUACACAAAAGACAAUAAAUACUGAAAUAUUUUUCACAUAAGGAAAAUGUUCGAAAUGACUAGAAACUGGUUCUAUUUUUAGAAUGCUUCUUUUCAUAACAGUUUUUACCUUUCUCCUCUCUGUUUUGACAUGCUGCUGUGAACGUAGGCAGAAGGACAGGAAGAAACAAGCUGGAAAACCAGAGACUGUUCCCUGUUUCCUGACUGCUGAAGAUGGGCUGCUGUUGCUACAAACCUUGAAUUCUUUAAAGCAAGAUUACUGCAAUGUUGAAAACAAGUGGUGGAAAAGAAGAUACGGUGUGAUAAAGUUUCAAUCUCAAAAUGUUCAACACAUUAGAUAUUUUUCCAACCAAUCCAAAUUUUUUGAGGAUUUUUUGUUGCUAUUUUGGUCAUUGGCAUUUGAAGAUAGGGAAGAUAAUUUGUUCCAUCUAUUACAUUAAAUGCCUGGAUUCUGUAUUUGUCUCUGAAAGAAACAGAUUGUAAACAGAAAAAAUGUCUGUGGACCUUAAUCAUCCAUGUUUCACUCAUCUGCAUCACAUUUUGCAACUGCAACUGUACCGCAAUUAGCAAACAAUCUACUCUGAUUAUGCAAAGAAUUUUAUAGGAUAUUAGAUGUAGUUAGAGAGAGAAACAGAUUCUUUAAACUUCUAGACAGUUUAUAAAAACUUGGAAAAUCCUUUAACAUGUCAGUGGUGUCCAGCUUAAUGCCCUGUGAACAACCGAAGUUGCAUAAGUGAUAAACUUGAUGAAUAUUAGUCUUAGUCAAGCACUAUGCAUGAAAGACUCUUUUUUCCCAUCUGAGAUUUUUUCAGUGAAAUACUGCUCUGUAAUGAAAAAUUAAUAUUUUUAAAGAUGAAUCUAAGGGAACAUAAAGAUGAAGAUAUAUUUUAUUGCAAUCUGUUCUAUUUGUAAACAUGUUGUUAGAAAGGCGUUAGCUUCAGUGUACAUCAUAUUCAGACACCACCAACCAUCUACUUAGUUAUUAAGCACAUUUCAAUUUACCUUUCAGGUUUUUUUUGUUUUUUUUUUCCUUUUCCUUUAUUUAGGGUCAUAAAAUUGGCAGAACACUUUGUUUAUUCCCAGUUUAGCAACAGAUUUGGAUUUCAGACCGUAACUUCUGACCUCAUUUUAUCUUUCACAAGGUGUUGGUUCCUCUUUGGGGGGUGAGAUCCAAGGUUUCUUCUGAUGGAAAUAAUUUCUGGAUGGUUGUACGCCUAUUCUUCUGCAGUUUGUCAUUGUUACCAUAUGAAAAUAAAAGUAGUUACUGACUUUGUG
rnacentral:lncRNA from 1 species